AUAAUUAUAAGUAGACUCUGCUCAAUGUAAUAUAAAUAGCCGCAGAAUUUUUACUGUGCUAAGGUAGCAUAAUCAUUUACCUUUUAAUUAAAGGCCUGUAUGAAAGAAUACACAUUUAAAUUACUUUUUUAUUAAACCCCAUUAAAUUUUAAUUAAAAAUAAAAAUGUUUUUAUUAAUAAGAAAGACGAUAAGACCCUAAUGAACUUUACUAAAGUUUAGCUGGGGAAGCUAAUUAAAUAUAAUUUUAAUUUUUAUAAAAUUUCUAAUAAAAUUAAAUAUAAAAGUUACCAUAGGGAUAACAGCGUAAUAAAUUUUUAAAGCUCUUAUUAAAAAAAAAGUUUACGACCUCGAUGUUGAAUUAGAAUACUUUAAAGCGAAAUAGGUUAAAAGUGGGUCUGU
rnacentral:rRNA from 1 species